rnacentral:rRNA from 1 species
GACAGAGGUGCCAAGCGUUAGGCGGAAUCACUGGGCUUAAAGGGCGCGUAGGCGGGCGGUCAAGUCAGGGGUGAAAUCUUUCGGCCUAACCGGAAAAGGGCCUCUGAUACUGGCCGUCUCGAGGGAGGUAGGGGCAUGCGGAACUUCCGGUGGAGCGGUGAAAUGCGUAGAUAUCGGAAGGAACGCCGGUGGCGAAAGCGGCGUGCUGGACCUCUUCUGACGCUGAGGCGCGAAAGCCAGGGGAGCGAACGGG